GUUUUAAAAAAGGCGGCGUAAGCUGUCGCUAAAGGAUGGACCUGCGAUGCAUUAGCUAGUUGGUAAGGUAACGGCUUACCAAGGCGAUGAUGCAUAGCCGAGUUGAGAGACUGAUCGGCCACAUUGGGACUGAGACACGGCCCAAACUCCUACGGGAGGCAGCAGUAGGGAAUUUUCCACAAUGGACGCAAGUCUGAUGGAGCAACGCCGCGUGAGUGAAGAAGGUUUUCGGAUCGUAAAGCUCUGUUGUUGGUGAAGAAGGAUAGAGGUAGUAACUGGCCUUUAUUUGACGGUAAUCAACCAGAAAGUCACGGGCUAACUACGUGCCAGCAGCCGUGGUAAAU
rnacentral:rRNA from 1 species